GUGGAAUUCUUGUGGAUGAGGCCACUUACUGUCAACUAGGUCUUAUCCAUGACUAUGAGAGAGAUGCUGAGAUGAAAGAAGACAGGAGUUUUGCCAGUUCUUGGGAGACCAAACUGUAAAGAUACUGAUGCUGACUCGUGGAACUCUGGCUGCAGAGAGAGAAGGUUGUGCAUCUGGCAAGCUCAAGGUCAUGUAGUGGGUUCAUGUGCUUGUGGGACAGUGCAGAGCUGCUAGGCAGCUGCUCGGAACACGUGCACUGCUGUCACAUCUGCUCCUUCUGAAACUCCAUGAAUAAGGCACAGCAAAAAAGCUAGAGGAAAAUCCUGGCACUGAAAAUACAUGACAUGCAGACUCUGUGGCACAAGUGGGAAAGUGCAUAAACUGAGGUCUGAGUGAGUCAAUUGCUCAGAGCAAUGAGAUUGGACAAGUUUAAGUGAGAAAAACCCCAGAGGGGCUCAUCAGAGAAAGAGUCCAGUUGCCGCAGGAGUUCAGUUUGUUUUCAGCCUCUUGAUAGAGCUGCAGCCUGGUUUUGAAACUAUGACUUGCAAAAUAUAAAUUGCAUAGUAGUUCCUA